UAAGGAAUAUUGGCCAAUGGACGAAAGUCUGAACCAGCCAUGCCGCGUGGAGGAUGAAGGCCCUCUGGGUUGUAAACUUCUUUUAUAGGGGACGAAAAAGGGUCUUUCUAGAUCAACUGACGGUACCCUAGGAAUAAGCACCGGCUAACUCCGUGCCAGCAGCCGCGGUAAUACGGAGGGUGCAAGCGUUAUCCGGAUUCACUGGGCUUAAAGGGUGCGUAGGUGGGUUAGUAAGUCAGUGGUGAAAUCUUCGAGCUUAACUCGGAAACUGCCAUUGAUACUAUUAGUCUUGAAUAUUGUGGAAGUUAGCGGAAUAUGUCAUGUAGCGGUGAAAUGCUUAGAUAUGACAUAGAACACCGAUUGCGAAGGCAGCUGGCUACACAUAUAUUGACACUGAGGCACGAAAGCGUGGGAAUCAAAC
rnacentral:rRNA from 1 species